rnacentral:rRNA from 1 species
CGCUAUCACUCCUACGGGAGGCAGCAGUAGGGAAUCUUUCCACAAUGGGCGCAAGCCUGAUGGAGCAACACCGCGUGAGUGAAGAAGGGUUUCGGCUCGUAAAGCUCUGUUGUUAAAGAAGAACACGUAUGAGAGUAACUGUUCAUACGUUGACGGUAUUUAACCAGAAAGUCACGGCUAACUACGUGCCAGCAGCCGCGGUAAUACGUAGGUGGCAAGCGUUAUCCGGAUUUAUUGGGCGUAAAGAGAGUGCAGGCGGUUUUCUAAGUCUGAUGUGAAAGCCUUCGGCUUAACCGGAGAAGUGCAUCGGAAACUGGAUAACUUGAGUGCAGAAGAGGGUAGUGGAACUCCAUGUGUAGCGGUGGAAUGCGUAGAUAUAUGGAAGAACACCAGUGGCGAAGGCGGCUACCUGGUCUGCAACUGACGCUGAGACUCGAAAGCAUGGGUAGCGAACAGGAUUAGAUACCCUGGUAG